AGUCUCCGCCAGUCCCUGCCAGCCUGCCAAUAGACGUCGAACCUGAAGGGGUCGCAGUCCCUGUUCCGGGUGGCGCCCACCAGGUUCCGCAGAGGCCCGAGCGGCUCUGGAGGGCACGGGGUCCGCGGGUGCCGCCGGAGACCAAACAUCUGCCAGGGGGUCCGGACCGCCCUGGCGGCGAUGGCAACAGCAGCAGAAGACAGUGGCAGGAGUGCAGGUCCAGUAUUUCGGUGACAGUGCUCCCCAAAGGACACCAGCCCGAUGGAGAUGGUCUGCAGGAACGGCCGGAUGGCGGGAGUGAACUGUGGAGAGAUGCAGCUGCAUCACCCACCACCCAGGUGAGGGAUGGGGCAGAAGUGAGGGGCAGAGGCUGGGCAGACAUUUAGUGAGCUCCUGCUGUGUAUCAGGCACUGUUCUAGGCGCCUUCCUGGAGCUGGUAGUCUUGAAUGGAAGACAGAUGAUAAGCAAAUAAACAAAGAUGUAUGGAAUAUGAUGUUAAGUUCUAAAGGUUAAUGUUUUGAAGAGAAAGGCAGUUGGCAAAGGGGACGGACAGUGACGAGUGAGGGUCAGGCUGCUUGGACGAUCUUUCCUGCAGAAGGCACGGAAAGCCCAAAGGCUCUGAGGUGGGCCCCUGCUUGGCGUAAAACAAGGAGGCCAGUGUAGCUGGAGCAGAGUGAGCCAGGGAGGGGCGCAGGAGGUGAGGCCAGAGAGGUAAGGGGCUCAAGCCAAAUCGGGCCUUGGCUGAGGAAUUUGGAUUUUAGUCUGAGUGUGGAGCGGAGCCACUGGAGUGGGGACAGUGAGCUGACAGCAGGAAGCUGCCGAGCGUCAGGACAAAGAUGGGGUGAGGCAGGUGGUGGGAGCCAGGUAUGGGGCUGCAGGAAGGUAGAAGCCAGGAGAUGGUCAGAGACAGACAGACAGGGUUAGAGAUCUUGAGGCAGACAGUCAAACAGGGAGACUGAGGCCCAGAGAUGGGGGCAGACAGCCACCAAGAGCUAGGACAUGGGGAAACAGAGGGAAGGGCAGAUGCAGAGUCUGAGAGAGGGGAGGGACAGUUGGGAAAA